ACGGAAGUCGAGCUCUUUUGUCUGUCCUUCUGUCACGGCAGCGCGCGCACGCGAACGUGCUCGAUGCGCAGGUGUGCUCAGCUAGCUUGUGGCGCGAGAGGAACUCGUGGUUCUCCUUCACAUGAUAAAAUGUUUUGUUAACCCUCUAGGUUUAUAAGUCACCUUAACUUUUGUUUGUUACUCUGAAGAAAGCGUCGUGUGAAGAGGAGAAAAUAGGUUAGCAUCUGACUUCUAGGUGCCAUUUCAGACGGCUAUAUUAACUACUUUCAACAACAACGAAGGUAGCAUUUAUGGCACAUACAACCGGAGGCAAAGUCGUUAUGGAGGAGUUUUUUAAAACGGUAGGGGAGCUGAGGAGCCUCAUACAAAAGAUGUCCUGUCAAGUGGACGAAGUGGAAGAAAGACAAAGUACUCUUCUUGCUUCCUCCAACCCAGACAAGAAAUGCAGAGAUGAGUUGGAGUUGCUUAAUAACAAAAUCAAGACUGAUGCGAACUUGUUCCGAGCCAAGUUAAAAACACACACACUUGACUCGCUGCUUUGCUGAGCUCAUGACGAGUCACCACAACACACAAGGUGGCCUUCAGAGAGAAAUGCAAAGGCCACAUUAAGAGACAGCUGCAGAUUGCUUCCACCAUGCUGAAAAACUGCUCAGGAGUCUGCUCUCGCUCCGCCGCGUCUCGGCUCUGCUCGGACCGACUCCUUUCCUUCAGUCGUAGCUCCUUCUGACGAGCCUCCAGGAGCUUCUCGUGCUUGGCCUCGCGCUCAAACAUCUGCACACGCACAAUUGACACAAGAAUGCUUUGUGUUCUUCCGGAGUGCCACCACAGAAGGGUACAGAUGAUGUCAAGAAGAAAAACAUGGUGAUAUCCAUAGAUCCCUGUUGGAUUUAUCUUACCCAACAUUAUAAAAAAUAGACACAAAAGGAAUGAAGACGCUGGUUUCUUUUUCUCAUGAGGAGGGCGUAUGGGAGAUUGUUCAGAUCACAGCCUCUCAACACGCUCUAACCAAUCUCUCCCGUCGCUCCUGCAUUUAUUUGAAAAUAGGAGGGUUUUUCCCAGACAUAAUGUUCUAAACAAUAAGACACAACACAAAACAUUGGACCAACACCUGUCACGUCCCCGACCACAUCCGAUCACGUCCUUGGUCCAGGCGCCCUUCCAUCGGAUGAUGCUGAGUCAUCUUUUCGAAGGCGAGACAUCUAAAAUCGUCCAUAAUACUAAUGCAAGCUAAGCAAAUAAAUGAUAACUUCUAGAAUAUAUUUAACAUUUCCCUCCUGUUUAUCAUGUAUUUGCACAAAUUCUCAUAUCAUCUUACAGUCACUUCAUUUCGAUUUUUAAUUGUAGAAUCAUUUUUAUGAAACAAAUACAUUUACACUCAGAGUAAACUUGUCAUACAUGAAUGUUGUAGUUUAAACAUCGUAAUCACCUGGAUCAGGAAACAAAUCAGGUAAAACAACAUCAUCAUCAUCAUCGUCAUUAUUAUCAACCUCCAAUAAAGGAUAAAUCUGCUCCAUACGGUUCCAUGUGGGUUAUGGCUGUGGUGAUUAAUUUACUGAUUAAUGCCCGAAUGCAUGGGAUACAACAACAUCCACACAAUGUCAGAAUGGCUGCAAAAACAGCAAUUGAUAUCAAUAUUGGUGAAAUUAGGGUUUUAUAUUUACCAAAAACGUCCAUUCAGCUGUUUCACAAGGAGUGUUGAUUGAGGGUCCGUAGACCAUCGAUGGCUCUGGUCAAGCUGCCAUCUGAAGCAGUAUUGUUUGUUCUCCAAACAUACCGCAAACACCUCCCUCUCUUGCGAGGAGCAUGUCGACAGCUAUGCGGUCUUUGGAACGUCCUUGAGCUGCUCGUGCACAGCUUCCAACCCACUCUGAGUCCAAUUUCCUAAUCUCUGUACAUUGAAGUGGAUAUAGUUUAUCCCAUCAACAUUUUUAUUAAUCGUACACCAACAGCAUAUGAAGUAUUCAAAUCCUCCUGCAACUUGGUCAGCUAAUUUGUAUUGAUUAGGAACCCCACGAGGAACACCAUGUAUGUUUUAUGUUGGAUAAUUUUGCCUCUGCCAGGAUAAAUCUCUUUUUUGUCAAGUAUGUCCAAAACACACAAGGAAUUUGUCUCCGGUAGUUGGAGCCGCUCUAGUACAACAGACAGUCAAUUUACAGAACACUUUGGAGACAUAAAGACAUUGACAAAAAAUAAUUGUGCAAAAAGAUGCAGUCCUCUAGCAGCAGUUUGAAUGACUAAUAUCGCAAUAGU